rnacentral:rRNA from 1 species
UACGGAGGGUGCAAGCGUUAUCCGGAAUCAUUGGGUUUAAAGGGUCCGUAGGCGGUUUAGUAAGUCAGUGGUGAAAGCCCAUCGCUCAACGGUGGAACGGCCAUUGAUACUGCUGAACUUGAAUUAUUAGGAAGUAACUAGAAUAUGUAGUGUAGCGGUGAAAUGCUUAGAGAUUACAUGGAAUACCAAUUGCGAAGGCAGGUUACUACUAAUGGAUUGACGCUGAUGGACGAAAGCGUGGGUAGCGAACAGG